UGAGUAACCUGCCCUUAACUCUGGGAUAAGCCUGGGAAACUGGGUCUAAUACCGGAUAUGACUCCUCAUCGCAUGGGUGGGGGGUGGAAAGCUUUUUGUGGUUUUGGAUGGACUCGCGGCCUAUCAGCUUGUUGGUGAGGUAAUGGCUCACCAAGGCGACGACGGGUAGCCGGCCUGGAGGGGGUGACCGGCCACACUGGGACUGAGACACGGCCCAGACUCCUACGGGAGGCAG
rnacentral:rRNA from 1 species